rnacentral:rRNA from 1 species
UACGUAGGCAGCAAGCGUUGUUCAGAGUUACUGGGCGUAAAGGGUGCGUAGGCGGUCCUAUAAGUAUGGUGUGAAAUCUCCCGGCUUAACUGGGAGGGUGCGCUAUAGACUGUGGGACUAGAGUGUGGGAGAGGAAAGUGGAAUUCCUGGUGUAGCGGUGAAAUGCGUAGAUAUCAGGAGGAACACCGGUGGUGUAAACGGCUUUCUGGACCAUAACUGACGCUGAGGCACGAAAGCGUGGGUAGCAAACGGG